rnacentral:rRNA from 1 species
AUUGAACGCUAGCGGGAUGCUUUACACAUGCAAGUCGAACGGCAGCGCGAGAGAGCUUGCUCUCUUGGCGGCGAGUGGCGGACGGGUGAGUAAUAUAUCGGAACGUGCCCAGUAGCGGGGGAUAACUACUCGAAAGAGUGGCUAAUACCGCAUACGCCCUACGGGGGAAAGGGGGGGAUUGCAAGACCUCUCACUAUUGGAGCGGCCGAUAUCGGAUUAGCUAGUUGGUGGGGUAAAGGCUCACCAAGGCAACGAUCCGUAGCUGGUUUGAGAGGACGACCAGCCACACUGGGACUGAGACACGGCCCAGACUCCUACGGGAGGCAGCAGUGGGGAAUUUUGGACAAUGGGGGAAACCCUGAUCCAGCCAUCCCGCGUGUAUGAUGAAGGCCUUCGGGUUGUAAAGUACUUUUGGCAGAGAAGAAAAGGUACCUCCUAAUACGAGGUACUGCUGACGGUAUCUGCAGAAUAAGCACCGGCUAACUACGUGCCAGCAGCCGCGGUAAUACGUAGGGUGCAAGCGUUAAUCGGAAUUACUGGGCGUAAAGCGUGUGUAGGCGGUUCGGAAAGAAAGAUGUGAAAUCCCAGGGCUCAACCUUGGAACUGCAUUUUUAACUGCCGAGCUAGAGUAUGUCAGAGGGGGGUAGAAUUCCACGUGUAGCAGUGAAAUGCGUAGAUAUGUGGAGGAAUACCGAUGGCGAAGGCAGCCCCCUGGGAUAAUACUGACGCUCAGACACGAAAGCGUGGGGAGCAAACAGGAUUAGAUACCCUGGUAGUCCACGCCCUAAACGAUGUCAACUAGCUGUUGGGGCCGUUAGGCCUUAGUAGCGCAGCUAACGCGUGAAGUUGACCGCCUGGGGAGUACGGUCGCAAGAUUAAAACUCAAAGGAAUUGACGGGGACCCGCACAAGCGGUGGAUGAUGUGGAUUAAUUCGAUGCAACGCGAAAAACCUUACCUACCCUUGACAUGUCUGGAAAGCCGAAGAGAUUUGGCCGUGCUCGCAAGAGAACCGGAACACAGGUGCUGCAUGGCUGUCGUCAGCUCGUGUCGUGAGAUGUUGGGUUAAGUCCCGCAACGAGCGCAACCCUUGUCAUUAGUUGCUACGCAAGAGCACUCUAAUGAGACUGCCGGUGACAAACCGGAGGAAGGUGGGGAUGACGUCAAGUCCUCAUGGCCCUUAUGGGUAGGGCUUCACACGUCAUACAAUGGUCGGGACAGAGGGUCGCCAACCCGCGAGGGGGAGCCAAUCUCAGAAACCCGAUCGUAGUCCGGAUCGCAGUCUGCAACUCGACUGCGUGAAGUCGGAAUCGCUAGUAAUCGCGGAUCAGAAUGUCGCGGUGAAUACGUUCCCGGGUCUUGUACACACCGCCCGUCACACCAUGGGAGUGGGUUUCACCAGAAGUAGGUAGCCUAACCGUAAGGAGGGCGCUUACCACGGUGGGAUACAUGACUGGGG